UCUCAACUUAGUAUGCUUGGGCUUUUGUUGGCUUAUCAGUCACAGAAGUGAUCACUGCAAGCAUAACAGUUGUUAUAGGAACAACCUUGAAUUACUUUUUAGACAAUAGAAUUAAUAGAGCCGAGAUCCUUUUCCCUGGUGUGGCUGCUUCUUGGUUGCAGUUUGCCUUGCUUCUACUGUCCACUCAUCUAUUGCAGCUGAUAAUAAAGAAAAGCUUGAAGGUUUUUAAUCUAAAGAGGGGUAUGUUUCAUUCAUUAAAUGUUAAGGUUAUCAAAGAAUUAUCUUGUUUCCAGGUGACAUUCUUCUUUCUUUUUAUUAGAAAGAGUUAUUUUUUCUAACUUUAUUUUUAGUUUUAUUGCAGAAAUUGGGCUAAACCUUAUAUUAAAGAUGCUAAAGAAGUUUCCAGGUAUAUUGAGAUGAUUUCUUUGGAGCAAUUCUUGACAACAUUUGUAGUUGAGGCCUUUAGAAUGGAAGAAUGUAUUUCACUAAUUUUUGUAUACAUUUCUUGUUUUGUAUUUAGUGAUAAAGGAAUCUGAAUUGGGCAUAAAUUAUGUUGUAAUAUGAUUUCUUAAGCCUAGACUAG